GAUGAACGCUGGCGGCGUGCCUAAUACAUGCAAGUCGAGCGAACAGACGAGGAGCUUGCUCCUCUGACGUUAGCGGCGGACGGGUGAGUAACACGUGGAUAACCUACCUAUAAGACUGGGAUAACUUCGGGAAACCGGAGCUAAUACCGGAUAAUAUAUUGAACCGCAUGGUUCAAUAGUGAAAGACGGUUUUGCUGUCACUUAUAGAUGGAUCCGCGCCGCAUUAGCUAGUUGGUAAGGUAACGGCCUACCAAGGCAACGAUGCGUAGCCGACCUGAGAGGGUGAUCGGCCACACGGGAACUGAGACACGGUCCAGACGCCUACGGGAGGCAGCAGUAGGGAAUCUUCCGCAAUGGGCGAAAGCCUGACGGAGCAACGCCGCGUGAGUGAUGAAGGUCUUCGGAUCGUAAAACUCUGUUAUUAGGGAAGAACAAAUGUGUAAGUAACUAUGCACGUCUUGACGGUACCUAAUCAGAAAGCCACGGCUAACUACGUG
rnacentral:rRNA from 1 species